rnacentral:rRNA from 1 species
GUGGGCCCUCGAAAUCCAAGUGGCGGGAGCAUUCAGUCGGUGGAUCCUGGCGUGGCACGUGGGAUAUGUUCAGAAGGUACGCGAGACGCGGCCGUCCCUGUGCUCCGAUCCGGGUGUCCGCUGACGCAUUUGUUUCCCGUCCCGAAGGACGCCGCGACCGGUUGGUCGAAGCGGCCUUAAAGGCGAGUGUCGGCAGGUGGCCGGUGGCUUUCUGACCCUUUCCGGGGUUGGUGGCCGCCGGUUGUUAGCCUUCUCGUCGCACGGCCCGCUUCCCGACCGAGGCAAUAAAGAGGCCCCCUCUGUGGGCUUCGCCGUCUCCUCCUUAAUAGGAUGCAGGUGCACAUACGUGGCAGGGGUUCGCACGCUGGGCGGACGCACGGACUCACUCCGUGGUCUGGAUCCGGCGGCGUCCUCGUUGGCAUCCGCGUCGAUGCCUGCAGGAGUGCAUGAUGGUACGCGGCGAGUAGAUCGGUCACCCACCAGCCCCGUCUUGAAACACGGACCAAGGAGUCUAACAUGUGCGCGAGUCGUCGAGUCUCGAAUAAGCUCGAAGGCGCAAUGAAAGCAAAGGCUGGGCGGAUGCACUCCGCCUGCCGUGUUGGGAUCCCUGCACCUCCGCGUGCGGGGCGCACCAACGACACGUCCUCCUAUCCGCUCCGUCGGAUUGGGCGUAGUCUGAGCGCACACGUUGGCACCCGAAAGAUGGUGAGCUAUGCCCGGGCAGGACGAGGCCAGAGGAAACUCUGGUGGAGGUCCGUAGCGGUUCUGACGUGCAAAUCGAUCGUCAGAUCCGGGUCUAGG